rnacentral:rRNA from 1 species
CCUACGGGGGACAGCAGUGAGGAAUAUUGGUCAAUGGCCGCAGGGCUGAACCAGCCAAGUCGCGUGAGGGAUGACGGUCCAAAGUAUUGUAAACCUCUUUUGUCAGGGAACAAAGACUGCCACGUGUGGCGGGUUGCGAGUACCUGAAGAAAAAGCAUCGGCUAACUCCGUGCCAGCAGCCGCGGUAAUACGGAGGAUGCGAGCGUUAUCCGGAUUUAUUGGGUUUAAAGGGUGCGCAGGCGGAAUGUCAAGUCAGCGGUAAAAUUUCGGGGCUCAACCCCGUCGUGCCGUUGAAACUGGCGGUCUUGAGUGAGCGAGAAGUAUGCGGAAUGCGCGGUGUAGCGGUGAAAUGCAUAGAUAUCGCGCAGAACUCCGAUUGCGAAGGCAGCAUACCGGCGCUCCACUGACGCUCAGGCACGAAAGCGUGGGUAUCGAACAGGAUUAGAUACCCCUGUAGUC